rnacentral:rRNA from 1 species
GACGAACGCUGGCGGCGUGCUUAACACAUGCAAGUCGAACGGAAAGGCCCUGCUUGCAGGGUACUCGAGUGGCGAACGGGUGAGUAACACGUGGGUGAUCUGCCCUGCACUUCGGGAUAAGCCUGGGAAACUGGGUCUAAUACCGGAUAGGAGCCAUUUUUAGUGUGAUGGUUGGAAAGUUUUUUCGGUGUAGGAUGAGCUCGCGGCCUAUCAGCUUGUUGGUGGGGUAAUGGCCUACCAAGGCGGCGACGGGUAGCCGGCCUGAGAGGGUGGACGGCCACAUUGGGACUGAGAUACGGCGCAGAAGCCUACGGGAGGCAGCAGUGGGGAGUAUUGCACAAUGGGGGCAAGCCUGAUGCAGCGACGCCGCGUGGGGGAUGACGGGCUUCGGGUUGUAAACUCCUUUCGCUAGGGAAGAAGCUUUUUGUGACGGUACCUAGAUAAGAAGCACCGGCUAACUACGUG